GAUGAACGCUGGCGGCGUGCCUAAUACAUGCAAGUCGAACGAGGUGCUUGAGUAGCAAUACAAGAGUAUCCUAGUGGCGAACGGGUGAGUAACGCGUUGGUGACCUACCCCAAAGUGUGGGAUAACAGUUCGAAAGGAUUGCUAAUACCGCAUGUGGUCUUCGGAUUUAGAAACUGAUGACUAAAGGAGCAAUUCGCUUUGGGAGGGACCUGCGUCCCAUCAGCUAGUUGGUGAGGUAAUGGCUCACCAAGGCUACGACGGGUAGGGGACCUGAGAGGGUGACCCCCCACAAUGGAACUGAAACACGGUCCAUACACCUACGGGUGGCAGCAGUAGGGAAUAUUGCACAAUGGGCGAAAGCCUGAUGCAGCAACGCCGCGUGUGCGAUGAAGGCCUUCGGGUCGUAAAGCACUUUUCUGAGGGAUGAGCAAGGACAGUACCUCAGGAAUAAGUCUCGGCUAACUACGUG
rnacentral:rRNA from 1 species